GGGAAAGUUGAAGUCUGGGGAAAAAAGAGAGAAUUCAGCAGAAGUCUGCAUCUCUACAAAGCUCCUAAGCUGAAAGUAUAUACCUUCCCAGGCAGCUGAUUUGCUGUGAGACUUCGAGGAGGGCAAGGGACACACUCUGUUCCUCCUACGAAGCUCCUUAGAAA
rnacentral:lncRNA from 1 species